CCCUUAGACGUUCUGGGCCGCACGCGCGCUACACUGACCAGUGCAACAAGCAUCCGUCCUUGGCCGACAGGCCCGGGCAAUCUUUGAACGCUGGUCGUGAUGGGGAUAGACUUUUGCAAUUUUUGGUCUUCAACGAGGAAUUCCUAGUAAACGCAAGUCAUCAGCUUGCAUUGAUUACGUCCCUGCCCUUUGUACACACCGCCCGUCGCUCCUACCGAUUGAACGUUCCGAUGAAUACCAUGGAUUGAGAGUCUGAAUGGGUUCGCCUAUUUCUGCUUCUCGAGAAGUGGAGUAAAUCUUAGCGUUUAGAGGAAGGAGAAGUCGUAACA
rnacentral:rRNA from 1 species